rnacentral:rRNA from 1 species
UCGCUGAGAACUUGAUCAAACUUGGUCAUUAGAGGAAGNAANNUCGUAACAAGGUUUNNNUAGGUGAANNNGCGGAAGGAUCAUUAACGAGUAUCGAAAGGGACUGUAGCUGGCCCCCCCCGGGGCAUGUGCACGUCCCGCUCAUCCACUCUACACCUGUGAACCACCUGUAGGCCAGUCUUCGGCUCGGGGCUNGUCUCCGAUGUCCGGGUUGACCUAUGUCUCAUUACAAACGCUUUGGUAUCAGAAUGUACGUCGCGAUAAUACGCAUCUUAAUACAACUUUCAGCAACGGAUCUCUUGGCUCUCGCAUCGAUGAAGAACGCAGCGAAAUGCGAUAAGUAAUGUGAAUUGCAGAAUUCAGUGAAUCAUCGAAUCUUUGAACGCACCUUGCGCUCCUGGGUAUUCCCAGGAGCAUACCUGUUUGAGUGUCAUGGAAUUCUCAAUCCCCUCUCCCUUGCGGUUGUGGGGUUUGGACUUGGAGGUCUUUGCCGGUGCUUAUGCACGGGCUCCUCUGGAAUGCAUUAGCUCGAUUCCGUGCGGAUCGGCUCCCGGCGUGAUAAUUGUCUACGUCGUGACCGUGAAGCGUUUGGCGGGCUUCGAACCGUCCCCCCGAGGGACAAUCGAUCUUGACAUCUGGCCUCAAAUCAGGUAGGACUACCCGCUGAACUUAAGCAUAUCAAUAAGCGGAGGA